GUGCUCGCUUCAGCAGCACGUAUACUAAAAUUGGAAUGAUAGAAGAUUAGCAUAGCCCCUGCACAAACAUGACAUGCAAAUUCAUGGAGCAUUCCAUAUUUUU
rfam:Tupaia chinensis contig97572, whole genome shotgun sequence.